UUGGCUCGAGUGUUUCGCGUUACUCUGUAAUUGAUCUGGAUCUGAUCUCGUUGGAUCUAUAUCACAUUUGUUCUCUAAUUCAUCAUUCUGCAAUCCGUAGCUACAGAUCUACUACUUGUUUACCUAUAUUUUGGAUCGAUGUAUCACUUUGCGAAGUUGUGCUGAAUAUAUUGAGUCUCUUGACGAGAUUUAGUGUU
rnacentral:sRNA from 1 species